GCCUGCAUGCCAUAGUGGUUUGAGUAUUGGACUAUGCCUCUGAAGACCAGGGUUCGAUUGCCCGUUUUGUCA